GAAGUGUUGUAAUUAGUUAAAAAAACCCUGCAAAUUAGGGUUGCUCCACAUUCAAGUCGGCGGAGAGUUUUAACGUUUACAUUGACCUUUUUGAAAAGUAAAUGUCGUACUUGCUCGUCCAGCUGCAGGCAAUGAAGGCAACAACUAAUGACAGGUAAUAGCUAGCUGGAAUGACUCUAACUGUACACACCUUUUGUGGGUCAGGUUUUUUUUUUUUUUUGUAGGCCUGUGAGGAUAUUGAAGACAUGUGCUGCACGUGGAGGAGGCCACGCCUGAAGUCGACGUGUGUUAAAAUGAGUUAUUUUGGUUUGUAAAAUGUACCUGAAAUAAUUGUUUUUUUUCUUACAUUUUGUGAUUUGUGCAAGUUGUUUUAGUUUGAUAUUAAGCUCAAAUAGUUAGUAGUUGUAUGCUAAGUUGUUGGAAGUGUUGCUCAGGUUGAUUUAAAAAGAAAUGGAUUGUGUUCACAGUGAUGUUGACUUGUAUUUUCUGUUGUGUUUUGAGAUUGUUUUAGUGGAUAAAUAGCAGGAGAAGAGCUGACUGAAUGGAGACUCCGCCACCCUGAAACACAUGGGGCUACCAUGCGGUGGAGCAUCUGUCAUGCUUCCAGCUGCAACAAAUCACCUCCAGCAUGUGGAGAAAGGCUGAUGGAUGGACAACCACAAACAUGAGAAAGUGAGUCCUUCAUGAGUGGUAAGGUUGACAAUAAUGCAUCUGAAAUAUAUAAGACUGUAUCUGUGAAAUUUUGCUUAAAAAAACCUGUCUGUUUUUUUUUUUGUUUUGUUUUGUUUUAUGGAUGAUUGUA